rnacentral:rRNA from 1 species
AUUGAACGCUGGCGGCAGGCCUAACACAUGCAAUUCGAGCGGCUGAAGGGAUCUUGCUCCUGGAUUCAGCGGCGGACGGGUGAGUAAUGCCUAGGAAUCUGCCUGGUAGUGGGGGAUAACGUCCGGGAACGGGCGCUAAUACCGCAUACGUCCUGAGGGAGAGAGUGGGGGAUCUUCGGACCUCACGCUAUCAGAUGAGCCUAGGUCGGAUUAGCUAGUUGGUGGGGUAAAGGCCUACCAAGGCGACGAUCCGUAACUGGUCUGAGAGGAUGAUCAGGCACACUGGAACUGAGACACGGUCCAGACUCCUACGGGAGGCAGCAGUGGGGAAUAUUGGACAAUGGGCGAAAGCCUGAUCCAGCCAUGCCGCGUGUGUGAAGAAGGUCUUCGGAUUGUAAAGCACUUUUAGUUGGGAGGAAGAGAAGUAAGUGAAUACCUUGCUGUUUUGACGUUACCAACAGAAUAAGCAACGGCUAACUUCGUG